AUGCCAUGUAACGUGGGAACUCCCAAGAUCCCGUGGGAAGAGAAUGCCACGUCACGUGGGAACUCCCAAGAUCGCGCAGGAAGAGAAUGCCAUGUAACGUGGGAACUCCCAAGAUCCUGUGGGAAGAGAAUGCCACAUCACGUGGGAACUCCCAAGAUCCCACGGAAAGGAAACGUCACGUCACGUGGGAACUCCCAGGAUCCCGCGGGAAGAGUGCUGGGCUCUUGCGAGGCAUUGUCGUCUCCUGCCCCACGCAGCACCUGUCCUGGAGGAAAAGGCGUCAAGCUCACGAAGUCUUUAUUUUGUACUGGGCCUCACAAACUACAGUUGCAUAUGGCAGACAAGAAAAGAUACAGAGAGGAGUCAUCUUCAAACUCAGGUAUAGACAAAGCUCAUCAAGCACAGGAUCCGGCCACCACCAAGCUUUCCCCAGCUACUUCUGCUGCUAACAGAUGGGUACCCAUCCAUGGGUGGUUCUGUCUCAGCCAAACCAUCACGGCCAAUCCCAACAUUUUGGUAUAGAGUAUUGGGAAAAUGGUCCACUGCAUUGCAGCUAAAGAAGACUGGCUGGAAACAUGCCUGCUUUC
rnacentral:lncRNA from 1 species